GUUAGCGGCGGACGGGUGAGUAACACGUGGGCAACCUACCUUAUAGUUUGGGAUAACUCCGGGAAACCGGGGCUAAUACCGAAUAAUCUAUUUCACUUCAUGGUGAAAUACUGAAAGACGGCAUCUCGCUGUCGCUAUAAGAUGGGCCCGCGGCGCAUUAGCUAGUUGGUGAGGUAACGGCUCACCAAGGCGACAAUGCGUAGCCAACCUGAGAGGGUGAUCGGCCACACUGGGACUGAGACACGGCCCAAACUCCUACGGGAGGCAGCAGUAGGGAAUCUUCCACAAUGGGCGAAAGCCUGAUGGAGCAACCCCGCGUGAGUGAAGAAGGUUUUCGGAUCGUAAAACUCUGUUGUAAGGGAAGAACAAGUACAGUAGUAACUGGCUGUACCUUGACGGUACCUUAUUAGAAAGCCACGGCUAACUACGUGCCAGCAGCCGCGGUAAUACGUAGGUGGCAAGCGUUGUCCGGAAUUAUUGGGCGUAAAGCGCGCGCAGGCGGUCCUUUAAGUCUGAUGUGAAAGCCCACGGCUCACCCGUGGAGGGUCAUUGGAAACUGGGGGACUUGAGUGCAGAAGAGGAAAGUGGAAUUCCAAGUGUAGCGGUGAAAUGCGUAGAGAUUUGGAGGAACACCAGUGGCGAAGGCGACUUUCUGGUCUGUAACUGACGCUGAGGCGCGAAAGCGUGGGGAGCAAACAGGAUUAGAUACCCUGGUAGUCCACGCCGUAAACGAUGAGUGCUAAGUGUUAGGGGGUUUCCGCCCCUUAGUGCUGCAGCUAACGCAUUAAGCACUCCGCCUGGGGAGUACGGUCGCAAGACUGAAACUCAAAGGAAUUGACGGGGGCCCGCACAAGCGGUGGAGCAUGUGGUUUAAUUCGAAGCAACGCGAAGAACCUUACCAGGUCUUGACAUCCCGUUGACCACUGUAGAGAUAUGGUUUUCCCUUCGGGGACAACGGUGACAGGUGGUGCAUGGUUGUCGUCAGCUCGUGUCGUGAGAUGUUGGGUUAAGUCCCGCAACGAGCGCAACCCUUGAUCUUAGUUGCCAUCAUUUAGUUGGGCACUCUAAGGUGACUGCCGGUGACAAACCGGAGGAAGGUGGGGAUGACGUCAAAUCAUCAUGCCCCUUAUGACCUGGGCUACACACGUGCUACAAUGGACGAUACAAACGGUUGCCAACUCGCGAGAGGGAGCUAAUCCGAUAAAGUCGUUCUCAGUUC
rnacentral:rRNA from 1 species